UGAGGAAUAUUGCACAAUGGGGGCAACCCUGAUGCAGCAACGCCGCGUGGACGAUGAAGGCCUUCGGGUCGUAAAGUCCUUUUCUGUGGGAAGAUAAUGACGGUACCACAGGAAUAAGUCCCGGCUAACUACGUGCCAGCAGCCGCGGUAAAACGUAGGGGGCGAGCGUUAUCCGGAUUUAUUGGGCGUAAAGCGCGCGUAGGCGGCUUGAUAAGUUGGACGUGAAAGCUCUCGGCUCAACUGAGAGAGGUCGUUCAAAACUGUCAGGCUUGAGGUUGGAAGAGGAGAGUGGAAUUCCCGGUGUAGUGGUGGAAUGCGUAGAUAUCGGGAGGAACUCCAGUGGCGAAGGCGGCUCUCUGGUCUAUACCUGACGCUGAGGUGCGAAAGCGUGGGGAGCGAACGGGAUUAGAUACCCCCGUAGUCC
rnacentral:rRNA from 1 species